AUUGAACGCUGGCGGCAGGCCUAACACAUGCAAGUCGAGCGGAUGAUGGGAGCUUGCUCCUUGAUUCAGCGGCGGACGGGUGAGUAAUGCCUAGGAAUCUGCCUGGUAGUGGGGGACAACGUUUCGAAAGGAACGCUAAUACCGCAUACGUCCUACGGGAGAAAGCAGGGGACCUUCGGGCCUUGCGCUAUCAGAUGAGCCUAGGUCGGAUUAGCUAGUUGGUGGGGUAAUGGCUCACCAAGGCGACGAUCCGUAACUGGUCUGAGAGGAUGAUCAGUCACACUGGACCUGAGACACGGUCCAGACUCCUACGGGAGGCAGCAGUGGGGAAUAUUGGACAAUGGGCGAAAGCCUGAUCCAGCCAUGCCGCGUGUGUGAAGAAGGUCUUCGGAUUGUAAAGCACUUUAAGUUGGGAGGAAGGGCAGUAAGUUAAUACCUUGCUGUUUUGACGUUACUGACAGAAUAAGCACCGGCUAACUCUGUGCCAGCCGCCGCCGUAACAC
rnacentral:rRNA from 1 species